rnacentral:rRNA from 1 species
GUGAACGCUGGCGGUAGGCCUAACUCAUGCCAGUCGAACGGCAGCACAGUAAGAGCUUGCUCUUACGGGUGGCGAGUGGCGGACGGGUGAGGAAUACAUCGGAAUCUACUUUUUCGUGGGGGAUAACGUAGGGAAACUUACGCUAAUACCGCAUACGACCUACGGGUGAAAGCAGGGGAUCUUCGGACCUUGCGCGAUUGAAUGAGCCGAUGUCGGAUUAGCUAGUUGGCGGGGUAAAGGCCCACCAAGGCGACGAUCCGUAGCUGGUCUGAGAGGAUGAUCAGCCACACUGGAACUGAGACACGGUCCAGACUCCUACGGGAGGCAGCAGUGGGGAAUAUUGGACAAUGGGCGCAAGCCUGAUCCAGCCAUACCGCGUGGGUGAAGAAGGCCUUCGGGUUGUAAAGCCCUUUUGUUGGGAAAGAAAAGCAGCAGGUUAAUACCCCGCUGUUCUGACGGUACCCAAAGAAUAAGCACCGGCUAACUUCGUG